CAUAGAGCGACUCACAGCGACAAUGCGACCAGAGACGUUCAUUUUCAAUGAGAUCUGGUGACUUCCGGCGACAUGCGCGGCAGCGACCAUUGGCGACCGGAUGUGGGCGUGUCCAGCGACGCGACAAAGUUUAAUUUUAUGCAAAUUUGGAGCGACUUGGUGCAGCAACUACCAAUGGGAGUGAAGAAGAGUGAGCACACACCACCCCUGCUCACUAGCAGAGGCAGCGCCAUUGUGGCAGUAGCCAAUUAGCUUAGCUAAGCUUAGGAUCUUAGUGGGGUUAAAGAAAAAUUUUUAUUAUUAAAUAAAUAAAUAAAUAAAUAACAAUGAAACAUUCACUUUUUGUUGCAAUUGAGCAAAAUCCCAGUGUAGCUCCUAUCUUUGGUUAAGUGUCCGGCUUGUCGCUGCUUCGGCGCCCGGGAACGAGCAGCACCAAGCCAGACACUUCACCCAGAAAACACGGAGGCCACAGCCAAAUAGCUGCAGUCCGGCUCCCGGUCACCAUCGAACAGAUAGUGAAGGACAACCUGAUGGUGACACUCACUCACUGAGAUAGGAGCUACACCCGGGUUUUGCUCAAUUGCAACAAACAGUGAGAGUGUUUCAUUACUAUUAUUUUGCUUUAAACGCACUAAGGCCAUAAGCUAAGCUAAUUGGCGCUUGUGCUUUUGCCGCAGUUAGACGGCUGAUCACACACCGCUUCUCCUUCAUCUCGUAGGAUAUGAUGCAUAUAUACACUGAUGCUCUUAUCCAGAGUGUGUUACAGAAGUGCUCCGAAGUCUCUCUCAGAAAACACGUCCUCAUGCUAGUUCACUAGGACAGGGACUAAGAGUACCAUCAGUCUAAACACAGUGUUGAGAGGUUAGUUCAGGAUGAAGUACUGACUAAUUUAAGUCCUUGGUGAACUGGUAGGUCUUUACACACUCAUUCACACUUUUUUUUUUUUUUACAUGAAGACAGGAGACUUCAAAUUUCACCACAAAAGUCCCAAACAAGAUCAUGUAUAGCAGUCUUCUUACACAAAAGAGGAUGAUGUGUCUGCCAUGUCAACACAGAAUUUGGCAUCUGACUCCAUUUCCCAGCAUGCACCUCCGACUACAAAUAUGGCUACCAUCGACUACAAAUAUGGCUACCAUGGACUCCAACUCCCAGUUCACACGCUCAAGCUCACCCCAUUACUGACUGCACACAGCUGGACUCAAUCACCACUCCACACUAUAUAAACACGCUCACUACACAUAGACUUUGUGGAGGAUUUGUUCAGCUCGCUUUCCUCAUCUGAUGUACCAAGCCUUUGAGUCAUGCGUGCCAUUUCUAUUUUCGACCCAUGUUUAUUUUCUUGUUUCAUCAUUAUAGUCUCAUACUCCGAAUAUUUUUUUGUAUAAGUUUGUACAUUGCUUGACCCUUUGCCUGCUCAGUGUCAAGGGUUCCUACUCCAAUGUUCUCUGUAUUUCUCUGAACAACGUAAGGUGGAUCAGUUUAUUAACCUUCUCAAAGGGCAAGGAGUUAACCUGGAUGACCGCAGUCUGGAACCUAGGAGGGGAACACACCUCAACUCACGAUCGAUUCACUGAACUGUUCCUCCACGUCUUUGACCACGCUCCAGAAGUCCAGUGACAGGUGUAUUUUAGGAGGUGGGAGGAAACCAGAGAACCCGGAGGAAACCCACAUGGACAUGGGGAGAACAAGCACAGAAACUCCACACAGACAGAAGCCCGAGCUCAGGACUGAAGCGGGGACCCUGGAGCUGUGAGGAGACAACGCUACCCACUGCAUCACCACACUGCUCAUAGAUCCACAGAGUUCCCCUUUUGUAUAGAUGGUAAUGAAUCAAAAACAGAACAGCUGUGUAACGCUAAACUGGAAAUUAGCUGUUAUUGUUAUUUGAAAUCAAUUUAUUCAUUAUUAUUUAUUUACUGAAUUUAUUUUUUUGAAUUUUGUCAAAGUAAUGAAAGUGUCACAGUUCAGUCCACAUCGACCGCGCUUGAGUUUUGGAAGGCAUGCAACUUAAAAAAAACAAAAGCUCUCUCUCUAUGUAUAUAUGUAUGUAUGUAAUAAUGCAAAGUGUAAUAGAAAAGUCAUUUACUUGUAACUGUCACGUCUUCAUUCUGGUCUUAGCUGUAAAUAGAUGCGUGUGAAUUUCACACCUUUUUCUGCUGUCUCUCAUAUAAAAUGCAGGAAGUGAAGAUGGUCACUGACAGAGAGACAGCAGAAAAAGGUGUGAAAGUCACACGCAUCUAUUUACAGCUAAGACCAGAAUGUAGAAGUGACGUACAGGUUACAGGAAAAUAGGCUACUAAAAAUUUGAGCUUGAUCUCUUGUACAUCAUUUUAUAAUCGAAGUAUUGGACGAAUUAAAUUAAUCUUUGUAUCUAAUCUUUAUAUCUUUUAUUUAAUCUCUUAAUAUUUAUGUGUAAUAGUUAGAAUAAUUGACUAUUAUUAAUGUCUUAAUAAUGCGAGAUUAAUCUGAAAAUAAACGAAAGACAUACAAUACAGUUUAGCGUAAUUGUGCAGUUGUCAACAACAGGGGUGUCGCUAAACCCUUUUUACUGGGACACGAGUCUUUUUGAAGUGAUUUGUUCAUUUAGGAGGCUGGUUAGUUAGUUCACUCAUAAAAAUGUUAAACACACCUGCCUGUAAUUUUCUGUGUAUAAAUCUUUGGUUAGAUGUUUCAGGUGUGUGUGAUUAGGGAUGGAGUUAAACUCUGCAGGACAGUGCAGUGGCCCUCAGGACCGGAAUCGCCCAUCCCUGGUUUAGGAGAUAAUUUCACAGUUUCAGUGGCUCCAUUAUAUUGUCUGGUAUUUGUGUAAAUAAAACAUAAUGAAUUUG